rnacentral:lncRNA from 1 species
AUGACCACCUCAUUUCGCAGGUCCACUCUCGUUAGAGGAAAAUACGAAUCAUUCACAGGGAGUGGUUCACCAAUAACAAAUUCAGAGGAGGGAGAAACAAAAAUCCCUCAGAGAUAACAGUUAAACGAAUUUCUUCAUUCUUUUCACUUGUUUAAUUCAUGCUCAUAACAAUUUCAUAUUCUUUCAUAUGCAUACUACAUGUUCAAUGCAAACAUUUGUGAAUCCACAGGGAUUCCAUAACUUAUCCAGCCCGUAGGCCCCUUUUACACAUAUCUCACAUUCCACAUAUCCGGCUCGAAGGCCC